AUACUUACCUGGCAGGGGAGAUACCAUGAUCACGAAGGUGGUUCUCCCAGGGCGAGGCUCAUCCAUUGCACUCCGGCCGUGCUGACCCCUGCGAUUUCCCCAAAUGCGGGAAAGUCGACUGCAUAAUUUCUGGUAGUGGGGGACUGCGUUCGCGCUUUCCCCUG
ensembl:snRNA U1 U1 spliceosomal RNA